rnacentral:lncRNA from 1 species
UGAAAUCAUAUUUUAAAUUAAGAUUUUUGUAUAUGAUGUAGUUUCGGCGUUGUCGCGGUUUGGUUCGAUCGUGAAAUGUCAUGUAUAUUAUUAGGAAUAGGACGCGAGAAAGACAACUCGGUUGUUUGUCUUCUUCGCCCGAGAUCAAUAUAGGCCAGUGACUGAAUCAUAUAAAUCUUUGGAACAAUUAUUUAUAUAUCUCUGAAAGGUUUCUAACUUUUUGAUUUAUCUCUCUUAGAAUGCUAAUAUUAAAAAUACAUUUUUUACAUUCCAAACUAUUUCAAAUGUAUUCUUAGAGUUAAAUUCUGUUAAUGAACGGUUAGCAAUAGUUGUUAUUUCUAUAAAAUUACUAUUUUGUCAUUUCAAAUAUAUCCUUCUAACAUCACCGACUUUUCUUAUUUGCUCUUAAGUUAGGGGCGCAAAAAAAGUAUUUUAAUUUUUAGUCUUUUCAAAUAUACUCUUCUAGCUACCAUCACCAAUAUUUCUUAUUUGCCUUUAAGUUAGAGGCAAAAGAGAAAUUUUAAAUUUUUUUUAACUUUGGUAAAUAUUUAACUCACGUUUAACUCAAGUUAACUUUAUGGGUGGUAACUGCAGGGGUAUUUUAAAAUAACGGAGGAACAUAUGAAGGGUAUAUUGGAAAGAAAAAAAAAGUAAGAAUAAAUGAGAUAUUUUCGAAGUUUUGAGAAGUAUAUAGGCAAUUAUUCCUAAAUCUUUAUAUUUCUCGCAUUGCUCUAUGAUCUCAUCAU